rnacentral:rRNA from 1 species
AUUUAGUUGUUAGAGGCGGAGCUAAAUGCAGUCGAGCGGUAACAAGUCUUCGGACGCUGACGGGGGGCAAACCGGCGAGGAGUACAUCCGAGCGUGCCCAUUCCUGGGGGAUAACUCUGCUAAAGAGGACUAAUCCCUCAUACGAUCUGAGGAUGAAAGCGGGGGACCUUCCGGCCUCGGGCGAUUGGAGCGGCCGGUGGCGGAUUAUGUAGUUGGGGGGAUUUAACCUUUUGGUGAGGACGAUCUGCACCUGGGCGACGAUGACUACCUGCCACACUGGGACUGACACCCGGCCCGGACUCCUUACACAGGCCACACUGGGGAAUUUUGGAGCUGGGCGAAUAUCUGAUCCUGGUUGCCGCCUGCUGCAUGAAUGCCUUCGGUGUGAAAACUGCUUUCGUACGGAAAAAAAAAUCUUCUCCUAAUACAAGAGGCCCAUGACGGUACCGUAGGAAUAAGCCCUGGCUAACUACGUGCCACCAGCCGCGGUCAUACGUAGGGCGCAAGCGUUAAUCGGAAUUACUGGGCGUAAAGCGAGCACAUGCGGUUAUGUAAGACAGAUGUGAAAUCCCCGGGCUCAACCUGAGAACUGCGUUUGUGACUGCGUGUCUAUAGUAAAGUAGAGAGACGAUGGAAUUCCACGUGUAGCACUGAAUUUGCGUGUGAUCUGCGAGAGAUCCACCGAUGGUCGAAGGCAAUCCCCUGGGACCUGUACUGACCCCCAUGCACGAUACUGUGCUGAGCAUACAGGAUCAGAUACACUGAUAGUCCACGCCCUAACCGAUGUCCACUGCCUGAUUCGGAAUUAUCUUUCGUCAGUAUUGGACCUAACGCGUGAAGUUCGACAGCUUGGGGGAUUACGGCCACCAUGGUGGAAACUCAGAAGAAUUUGA